UGAACUCCCAAAGCAAGCGAGCCAGGCCCAAGUUCUUACACUCAGGGCUCCUGCUGUCAAUGUAAAUCAAGCACAUGGCUUCCAGGUCCUUAAACAUUCUAUGACAGUUAGGAGGCCAUUCUGCCCACAGCACAUGGGAACUUGUGGCACUACCCGUCGGUUUACCAGGGAGGAAGAUAAGGUGAGCUCUACGCCCAACGUGGGGCUCAAACUCAGGACUGCGAGAUCAAGAGUCGCAAGCUCUACCAACUGAGCCUGCCAGUUGUCUUCAUUUUAACGAAGCCCUGUAGACACUCUCAUGGCCAACGCUACCACUCAGACUGCGGCCCCACCCCCAGGAACAUCAAAGCAUCCAAAGGAUUGAGAAGAUUAAAGUAUUUUGAAGUCCUCUUACUCAAGUCAGAUCCAUAGAGCAGCAACCUCAGCAACACCCAAGAGCCUGAAAUGCUGUCCCUGAGAACCCACUUGAAACCUACUGGAAUAAAAUCUGCAUUUUCACAAGAACCUCAGCUGAUUCCCAUGCACAUUAAAGUCUGAGAAGCAUGGUUCUGAAGUACAUCUGGCCUAUGAUUACUAGAAUCACAAGAAGGAAGUUGCCUGAAACUUCAAGACUGUCCUCCGGUGGCCAGGAGUUAAUGAAAUCACAAUCCCUUUACUAUAGUUGCGAGAAUCUGGGGACUUACUAAACUCCCCAGAAACCCCCUCCUGCUGCCUAAAUCACCUUUUCUUUUCCAGAACACGUAGGCUGAUUGUAAACUGAUACUUAAAAGCAUAGCAUAAUUCUAGAAGGAUUUUGCUUUAUACUCAAAAGACCAGCAUCAUAGGCCAUGCAUUCAUUCUAUAACCAGUAAGUGAAUAUCUACUUAGGUAAUUCACAAUAACUAACAUUGUGCAAAGAGCCCAAAGUCUAGUAGAAGGAUUGAGAUUACAACACAGAGUUAUAGGUCUAACAGGGAAAGGUCAGCACAGGAAAGCAGGGUACGGAGUUGGGCACUGGUACACACUUGGAAAGCACCUGACCCAGAUCUGGAAUAUCAAAGCAGCUUCCUGUGCUGAGCUUUGAAAAACAAACAAACAAACAAAGAUGAACAUUUUUUCAAGAAGCAGCCCACCUGUAGGCAUAGCGAGUGUGGUGUUAGGUUAAGGCAAGUCCCUGUACCAGCAAUGAAAGAGUCCACUACCUUACUUAAAAAAAAUUGACUCUGGUUUUAUAGCUUUUGUUCAACUGCUUUGAAUAUUUGUAUGCAUGAGCUAUAAAUGUGGCAGCCUUAGGAAUAUUUUUUCCCUUUCAACUCUCCUACCUGUAGACAAGGAGGAAUGGCAAACAUCAAAUACAAGAAGCACUAACGCGGAAGUCUGCGGAACACUGCAAGGGGGCAGGGAUAACAGAACAGUGCCUCCACAUUUGCCAUUUGAUCACAGAGAGUGUCAACGAAACCGCAACCAGCAAUUUGGGGACCAUAAAGAGAAUUGCAUUAAACUGAAUACAAAAGUCAGUAAAAUGUCUUAGGUGAGGGACACUGGCUAUUUGGCAGGUGCACUGCUGGCAGCAAUCGAGGGUCUCAGUGUGACCACCCUGUGCACACCCCUCUCUUUGCCGGUCUCUUCUCCCAGCAUUUAUAUAGUUC